rnacentral:rRNA from 1 species
GACGAACGCUGGCGGCGUGCUUAACACAUGCAAGUCGAACGGAAAGGCCCUGCUUUUGUGGGUUGCUCGAGUGGCGAACGGGUGAGUAACACGUGAGUAACCUGCCCUUGACUUUGGGAUAACUUCAGGAAACUGGGGCUAAUACCGGAUAGGAGCUCCUGCUGCAUGGUGGGGGUUGGAAAGUUUCGGCGGUUGGGGAUGGACUCGCGGCUUAUCAGCUUGUUGGUGGGGUAGUGGCUUACCAAGGCUUUGACGGGUAGCCGGCCUGAGAGGGUGACCGGCCACAUUGGGACUGAGAUACGGCCCAGACUCGUACGGGAGGCAGCAGUGGGGAAUAUUGCACAAUGGGCGGAAGCCUGAUGCAGCAACGCCGCGUGCGGGAUGACGGCCUUCGGGUUGUAAACCGCUUUCGCCUGUGACGAAGCGUGAGUGACGGUAAUGGGUAAAGAAGCACCGGCUAACUACGUG